GGAAGUAAAAGUCGUAACAAAGGUUUCCGUAGGUGAACCUGCGGAAGGAUCAUUAUUGUAUAACCGAGGUGCGAGGGCUGUCGCUGACCCGAAUGGUCGUGCACGCCCGAGUGCCCUCACACACAUCCAUCUCACCCCUAUGUGCACCACCGCGUGGGUCCCCCUUUGGCUUGUUCGGAGGGGGGCUUACGUUUUCACACAAACUUUGUAUGCAGUGUAGAAUGUAUUUUUUGUUUUUGCGAUCACGCAGUCAAUACAACUUUCAACAACGGAUCUCUUGGCUCUC
rnacentral:misc_RNA from 1 species